rnacentral:rRNA from 1 species
AGAUUGAACGCUGGCGGCGUGCUUAACACAUGCAAGUCGAGCGGUAACAGGCGUAGCAAUACGUGCUGACGAGCGGCGAACGGGUGCGUAAUACAUGGGAAUCUGCCUUUUAGUGGGGAAUAACCCGGCGAAAGCCGGGCUAAUGCCGCAUAAGAUCUUCGGAUGAAAGCGGGGGAUCGUAAGACCUCGCGCUGAUAGAUGAGCCCAUGCCGGAUUAGCUAGUUGGUGAGGUAACGGCUCACCAAGGCGACGGUCCGUAGCUGGUCUGAGAGGACGGCCAGCCACACUGGGACUGAGACACGGCCCAGACUCCGUACGGGAGGCAGCAGUGGGGAAUAUGGACAAUGGGGGAAACCCUGAUCCAGCGACGCCGCGUGUGUGAAGAAGGCCUGCGGUUGUAAAGCUACGUUUCGGUAGGAACGAAAUAGUGCCGGGACUAAGUAGUUACCCGGUAGGCUAGUACGUUACUACAAUAGAAGAAGCCACCGGCUAAACGUCUGUGCCAGC